GAAAAUUUGCAUGAAAAUAGAUUCAGUUUUUUCUAACUUUUUGUUUUUAUGAAUUAUAAGCUAGAACACAGAUUUUUUUUUUUUUCAGCUUUGAGAAAAGAUAAUUUUUUUUAAAAGAUGCAUGUGAUAAAUGAUAAUCAUGAUAUAUAGACAAAAUCCUUCUAAAUUUCUUCUAUUUUUUGUAGGUAAACUUUUGACAAAAGUCCUUACCACAAGUCUCAUGUAUCUAUAAUUAGUAACUUGUACAUUUCAUUUCCAUUAAACCGACGAAAAAGUUCAUCGUUGUUGCCGUAUUUCCUCCUUUCGGUAAAUCAAAUGAGAAAUGUUUUUCUAGGAUGCCAAGAAGUAAAUAUUAUACUCAAAAAUAAUAAUAUCGAAGUUAUUAAACUCAACAAUUUGAUAAGCGAAUAAUUAAAGCUUUUGCAGUGGAAUAUUUGAGUCAAUAUUCGAGUUUUAUAACGAUUUCUCUCUCACUCUUCAUGAUAGAAAAUAAAAGCAUAAAAACUCCCAAAAAAUACGAGAAAAAUAUAAGAAAAUGGCCAAAAGAAAUUUGGUUAAGUUGCUGAUCAAAAGACAGUAAAAAGAUGUAACCUUAUGAUUAUUCUCAAUUAGGACAAAAUCUCUAAUUAUUAAGAGUCCUUAAACCUCAUUUAUUUCUGUCCAUUUGGCCAAACCAAACCAUGGAAAAAACAAAUCAAGAAAAAGACAGACAAACAAACUGUGAAAGUAAAUAAUGGAAGCCAAGCAUCAGACUUGCCUAGAGGCUGCAUUUCUUUCCUUCAACCCUUUGGCCUUAAAUAUUCGUCGACCGUCUCCUGAACUGCGUCGAAUUCAUCGAUCUUGAUUCCAUCCAUGACGCAGAUUUGCGUAUAGAAUUGUGAAAACCUGGCCAGCGGCACGGUAUACAAUUUCUUGGCAGCCAAAGUGGAUGUAUUUGCGUAAAACUUAAACAUGGUGAAGAAGAAGAAAGAGAAGGGGUGAGAGGUGGGGGAAGAAGGAAUGGAAAAUACUUAUAAUGGGGAAUAAUCUUGCUUAGUUCAUAGGUAAACUAUGGGAUGUAUUCAAUUGAUACUUACAGACUUAUAUAUAGACUUUUUUAAGUGGGUCACUUUUGUGAAU
rnacentral:lncRNA from 1 species